rnacentral:rRNA from 1 species
AUUGAACGCUGGCGGCAGGCCUAACACAUGCAAGUCGAGCGGAUGAAGAGAGCUUGCUCUCUGAUUCAGCGGCGGACGGGUGAGUAAUGCCUAGGAAUCUGCCUGGUAGUGGGGGACAACGUUUCGAAAGGAACGCUAAUACCGCAUACGUCCUACGGGAGAAAGUGGGGGAUCUUCGGACCUCACGCUAUCAGAUGAGCCUAGGUACGAUUAGCUAGUUGGUGAGGUAACGGCUCACCAAGGCGACGAUCGUUAACUGGUCUGAGAGGAUGAUCAGUCACACUGGAACUGAGACACGGUCCAGACUCGUACGGAAGGCAGCAGCGGGGAAUAUUGGACAAUGGGCGAAAGCCUGAUCCAGCCAUGCCGCGUGUGUAAAGAAGGUCUUCGGAUUGUAAAGCACUUUAAGUUGGGAGGAAGGGCAGUAAGUUAAUACCUUGCUGUUUUGACGUUACCGACAGAAUAAGCACCGGCUAACUUCGUGCCAGCAGCCGCGGUAA